rnacentral:rRNA from 2 species
AGAGUUUGAUCAUGGCUCAGAAUGAACGCUGGCGGCGUGCUUAACACAUGCAAGUCGCACGAGAAUUCUUCUGCUUGCAGAAGAUAGUAAAGUGGCGCACGGGUGAGUAAUGCGUGGGCAAUCUUCCCUUGAAUCGGGGAUAACAUCGCGAAAGCUUUGCUAAUACCGGAUGACAUCCAUUUGUCUGCGGGCGAAUGGAUCAAAGGUGGCCUCUACAUGUAAGCUACUGUUUGAGGAUGAGCCUGCGUACCAUUAGCUAGUUGGUGGGGUAACGGCCCACCAAGGCGACGAUGGUUAGCUGGUCUGAGAGGAUGAUCAGCCACACUGGAACUGACACACGGUCCAGACUCCUACGGGAGGCAGCAGUGAGGAAUUUUGCGCAAUGGGGGAAACCCUGACGCAGCAACGCCGCGUGAGUGAUGAAGGCCUUCGGGUCGUAAAGCUCUGUCAAGUGGGAAGAACCUGCAGAAAGCUAACAUCUUUUUGCACUGACGGUACCACUGAAGGAAGCACCGGCUAACUCCGUGCCAGCAGCCGCGGUAAUACGGAGGGUGCAAGCGUUAUUCGGAAUUAUUGGGCGUAAAGGGCGCGUAGGCGGCCGUUUAAGUCAGGUGUGAAAGCCCGGGGCUUAACCCCGGAAGUGCAUUUGAUACUGAGCGGCUUGAGUAUGGGAGAGGGAAGUGGAAUUCCUGGUGUAGAGGUGAAAUUCGUAGAUAUCAGGAGGAACACCGGUGGCGAAGGCGACUUCCUGGACCAAUACUGACGCUGAGGCGCGAAGGCGUGGGGAUCAAACAGGAUUAGAUACCCUGGUAGUCCACGCAGUAAACGGUGAUCACUAGGUGUAGCGGGUAUUGACCCCUGCUGUGCCGCAGCUAACGCAUUAAGUGAUCCGCCUGGGGAGUACGAUCGCAAGGUUAAAACUCAAAGGAAUUGACGG